GUCCCAGACUCCUACGGGAGGCAGCAGUGGGGAAUAUUGCACAAUGGGGGAAACCCUGAUGCAGCGACGCCGCGUGAGUGAAGAAGUAUUUCGGUAUGUAAAGCUCUAUCAGCAGGGAAGAAAAUGACGGUACCUGACUAAGAAGCCCCGGCUAACUACGUGCCAGCAGCCGCGGUAAUACGUAGGGGGCAAGCGUUAUCCGGAUUUACUGGGUGUAAAGGGAGCGUAGACGGCAUGGCAAGUCAGAUGUGAAAGCCCGGGGCUCAACCCCGGGACUGCAUUUGAAACUGUCAGGCUGGAGUGCAGGAGAGGUAAGUGGAAUUCCUAGUGUAGCGGUGAAAUGCGUAGAUAUCAGGAGGAACACCGGCGGCGAAGGCGGCCUGCUGGACCGCGACUGACGUUGAGGCUCGAAAGCGUGGGGAGCGAACAGGAUUAGAUACCCCUGUAU
rnacentral:rRNA from 1 species